rnacentral:rRNA from 1 species
CUCAGAUUGAACGCUGGCGGAAUGCUUUACACAUGCAAGUCGAACGGUAGAGGGGGCAACCCUUGAGAGUGGCGAACGGGUGAGUAAUAUAUCGGAACGUGCCCAGUCGUGGGGGAUAACGUAGCGAAAGUUACGCUAAUACCGCAUACGAUCUAAGGAUGAAAGCGGGGGAUCGCAAGACCUCGCGCGAUUGGAGCGGCCGAUAUCAGAUUAGGUAGUUGGUGAGGUAAAGGCUCACCAAGCCGACGAUCUGUAGCUGGUCUGAGAGGACGACCAGCCACACUGGGACUGAGACACGGCCCAGACUCCUACGGGAGGCAGCAGUGGGGAAUUUUGGACAAUGGGCGCAAGCCUGAUCCAGCAAUGCCGCGUGCAGGAUGAAGGCCUUCGGGUUGUAAACUGCUUUUGUACGGAACGAAACGGUGAGCUCUAAUACAGUUUGCUAAUGACGGUACCGUAAGAAUAAGCACCGGCUAACUACGUG